GCCUUGGUAGCUCAAUCGGUAGAGUAUAAGACUCUUACUUACCGGGUAAGAGUCGUGAGGUUGCAGGUUCAAUUCCUGCUUGAGGCU